rnacentral:rRNA from 1 species
AGAGUUUGAUCCUGGCUCAGGACGAACGCUGGCGGCGUGCUUAACACAUGCAAGUCGAGCGAUGAAGCUUCUUCGGGAGUGGAUUAGCGGCGGACGGGUGAGUAACACGUGGGUAACCUGCCUCAUAGAGGGGAAUAGCCUUUCGAAAGGAAGAUUAAUACCGCAUAAGAUUGUAGUACCGCAUGGUACAGCAAUUAAAGGAGUAAUCCGCUAUGAGAUGGACCCGCGUCGCAUUAGCUAGUUGGUGAGGUAACGGCUCACCAAGGCGACGAUGCGUAGCCGACCUGAGAGGGUGAUCGGCCACAUUGGGACUGAGACACGGCCCAGACUCCUACGGGAGGCAGCAGUGGGGAAUAUUGCACAAUGGGGGAAACCCUGAUGCAGCAACGCCGCGUGAGUGAUGACGGCCCUCGGGUUGUAAAACUCUGUCUUUGGGGACGAUAAUGACGGUACCCAAGGAGGAAGCCACGGCUAACUACGUGCCAGCAGCCGCGGUAAUACGUAGGUGGCAAGCGUUGUCCGGAUUUACUGGGCGUAAAGGGAGC